rnacentral:snRNA from 1 species
AAAAGGAGUGUUAUGGAACUCUU